UACGGAGGGGGCAAGCGUUGAUCGGAAUUACUGGGCGUAAAGCGCGCGUAGGCGGCUUGAUAAGCCGGGUGUGAAAGCCCCGGGCUCAACCUGGGAACGGCAUCCGGUACUGCGAGGCUAGAGUGCAGGAGAGGAAGGUAGAAUUCCCGGUGUAGCGGUGAAAUGCGUAGAGAUCGGGAGGAACACCAGUGGCGAAGGCGGCCCUCUGGACUGACACUGACGCUGAGGUGCGAAAGCGUGGGUAGCAAACAGG
rnacentral:misc_RNA from 1 species